rnacentral:rRNA from 1 species
UACGAAGGGUGCAAGCGUUACUCGGAAUUACUGGGCGUAAAGCGUGCGUAGGCGGUUUGUUAAGUCCGUUGUGAAAGCCCUGGGCUCAACCUGGGAAUUGCAGUGGAUACUGGCAAGCUAGAGUACGGUAGAGGAUGGUGGAAUUCCCGGUGUAGCGGUGAAAUGCGUAGAUAUCUGGAGGAACACCGGUGGCGAAGGCGGCGUUCUGGACUGCAACUGACACUGAGAGACGAAAGCCAGGGGAGCAAACGGG